rnacentral:lncRNA from 1 species
AAAGAGAACUCCAAAUAACAACACAAGCUUAGCUUUUGCUUUAGAAGUUUCUAGAAUUUAGUUGAUGCUAUUGGAGCUAUCAUGAACUGAUACAGUCCCCGUGGGGAGUGACUGUAUGAGCUCGAACUGGACUUGGACAUUUCUCCAGCCCUCUGUGGUUCCAGUUGAGAACUUCAAAAUCUUUCAGAGCGACUCAUGCUGCCAGAGGGUGGAGGAGUGGACCUUGAAAUGACAAGUGACAGUUCCUCAGCAGUAGCAUCUCCUGCUUUCUCAGCCUGGUGACCUGACCCGGCAGCACGCCCACUGGGCACCUGUGCCCACCUGGGGAUGGGGUCUCGUCCUGCCUGUGUGACCCUUCCUCCUGACAGCCAUCUCUAGAGACAGCCAGUGAGGGCAGGGCAACAGGCAGUGCAUGUUCUUUCCACAUCUCCAUGACUGAUUCUGGCCAGGAGGAGGCUGGCUUUCUGGAUCCCACCAACAUCACAUAGGGGACCUUUUCAAUCUACCUCCUACCUCCCCUCCAGUCGUGAUUUGAUUCUGGAAUUUAAGAAGCGGAGAAAGAGCCUAGUUCAAAUUCAAGAAUUUCCAUCUAAAACCACAGCAUGGAGAGGCCCCUUUAAAAACCACCUAACCCAGCUCUUUCAUCAAACAGAUGAAGAAACUUACCUAAAGAUGUUAAGUGGUUUGCCCAAAUUGCAAAGCCUGAUAUAUGGGAAAAUACUUCCAUGGGAAAUAAGAAAAUGAUAAAUUUAAAAAAAAUUUUAAAUGAGGCUCUAAUUCCUGAAAAAUGACUUACUUAAACUGGGGACUGGGCAGAAAAUAAUAUUGUAGAAGGUAGAACAGCAUUUCUUUGGGAGGAUUUAUCUUUUUAAGUAUAUAGUGGUCUUCUACCACUAUCCUACAACAGGUUGCAGGACAAAUAAUGUAUUUUAAUCUUUGGGGGAGUCUUUGUGUAAGUCAGACCUUAUUCAUUUUCAUUCCAACAACACUCGCAGCCAUUGGAUCCUAAUUAUCACAUCUAAUAAGGCUGAUGGCUAAUCAGCUUGCCUUUUUAAGAAAAAAAGGCCGGGCACGGUGGCUUAUGCCUGUAAUCCCAGCACUUUGGGAGGCCGAGGCAGGUGGAUCAUGAGGUCAGAAGAUCGAGACCAUCCUGGCUAACACGGUGAAACCCCGUCUCUACUACAAAUACAAAAAAAUUAGCCGGGUGCGGUGGCGGGCGCCUGUAGUCCCAGCUACUCGGGAGGCUGAGGCGGAAGAAUGGCGUGAACCCGGGAGGCGGAGCUUCCUGGGCGACAGAACGAGACUCUGUCUCCAAAAAAAACACAAAUGACAUUCCAUUAUAAGUUUCUGCUGCAAAAGAAAGUUGGGAAAUUUGUUUAGAUACUUUAAAUAGUCCUAAGAUUAGCUGAAAUGCCGGUAACAAACGUGCAAUGAACAUUUUCUUGGGGGCAUUCAGCAACAAAGUGAAUCGUCCUUAAAAAAAAUCCAUACAACUAAAGCGAGUCUCACCACGGGAACCACAGGAGCUGUUUUAGUGAGGGGCUGGAGUGUCUGUUACAGGCGGCACUUUUGCGGCUGUUGCUGCAUUAGUCAGAUUGCACUCGAGAUGAAUGAGGAAGAAUAAAGUCUUCACCAAAAACCUGUCUUGGCUAACAGUUCUGAAUUUAUAGCCCUGGCAGUGGGGGCGGGGGCUGGGGGCGGGGCUGGGAGGAGGGGAAGAAAUGUGUCACCCGCUCUGAAUGAAGUUCAGGGGUGGUGUUUACCUAAGCAACAAACCCUUGUCAACAAUCGCUAUCUCUGGCUUGCCAGCGGAGGAGGUGGGGGAGUGAGGCUGUUUUGAUCAAAAUCCAACCUGUGGCUGCAAAGUGCCCAUCAACAGGGCACUUUGUUAGUGGGAACGUGCGACCUCUCUUAAUAAACAUAACAUACACAUCCCACUGAGGGCCACGGGUGGACCCAACUUCUUAACAGGAACAUUGAGCACAUGAAACCAGAAGGUGCUGGGUCCAAUUUCCACCCUCAGCCAACCCUAUCUGUGAAUGUCUCUACAUGUGAGCCAGCCAGGGCUCAACUCUUUGCUCUUCUGAAAUUCUUAGGCAGCAGAAAUGAAGGCAUCGUGCUGAAAAGCGCUCCAGAAAUUGCGGAUUUAUCAGUGAUGUACGGUAGUAGGUUGGACAAGUAAUGAUUUUCUGAACACCAGGAAUUAGAUCAAAAAAGAAAUUCCACUUAAGACUAAAAUAAGUCUCCAGUUGAGAGCAGUCUAGGACAUAUUCGAAUGGCCAGAAGUUUGUUUCAAUGGGGCCUCUGCGUUUGUGCAGCCUGGGAGUCAACAUUACAAUAUUGGUUCUUUCAAGCAGAUCCCGAGUGGAUCCAUGUCUGCCUGUUGUGGCAAAUCAAACUCAAAUUUAAUCAGAGAAAAAUAUAUGCAGAUGUUCAAUUAAAACCUGGAGUCCGCAGUCUUGGCACUGUUUGCCCGGCCCUCAUUGUUUGCUAAGUAACAACGGUUGCCAGGGGCAACGCAGUCCACUCCCGUUUCCAAGAGCCUGUUGCUGGGCAACCGGGAGAAUACUUCCCAAACCAAACAAUGUCAUCCCGGAGCAACCCCCUCUAUCUCACAUUAACCAGAUCUAAAAAAAACCCUCUCAAAUAUGUAAUCUAUUAUUUUCAGAAGCCCUAAGAGAAAGGCAAAUAAUCUCUUCUCUAUAGUAACUGAGGGGAAAACAGUUUACCAUAUUUGUUCUGAAAUAACAAAACCCAAGGAGGAACAACUCUCUCUGAGGUAAGAGGGCAUCACAGGAGGGAUUUCAAUCCUUCCUAGUACUGGGAGGAGAAAGUGCCCUUUUCUCCAAGAGGAAAGAAUCUAUUUAUCAUCAAACAAACAAUGUGGGAGAGUUCAUAGCUGCACAAGUGUUUUCUGGGCGAAGUAAAAUGAAUCAUGGAUUAAGCUAUUUGGAAAAAAGUGUGAAAACAGAGGAGUUGAUACCAAAUUAAAACGACUUUUGGAAAUAUCAUGUACGUAUGGAACAAGUGCAAAGGGAACCACUGACUCAGCGUCAGAAAUGCCUUGUGGGGCUUUGCCGGGAGGGACUUACAGUAUAUCUUUGACAUCACUGCGCCGGCUCUUCCCUCCCUACCCGGAGAGAGGAAGACUUUUCUAAGAGGAAGCCAGGCCACAUCAGAUGCCCCCAGAUGGCAGGACACACAAGGGACACAUAUCUCCGGAAAGAGGAGGCACAUGGUUGGGCAAUCUCGACCCAUGAAGGGGGAAAAGAAAAGGGCUAAACUGAAGCUAGUGCAGCUUUUGUUCUGCCUGGAGCAGUUCAGGCUGAGCAUGGCUUCUCUGAGGCUUUGGGACCAGGAGAGGGUGAAGUGGCACCACCACCUUUCAAGGGGAACACAGAGCUCUAAGCAGUGCUCUUGUUUUUGGUGGGCCCAGCCAAGGAUCUUAAAACAUUUUGAUAGAAUGAGCAACAUGUAGCUGCAGCCUCGAUGGGUCAACAUUUUGGAUGAUAAAAGCACACAAUGCUGAUAGAUUUGUGCAUGACCAAGCAUACCUUUCAAGGAGCUCUCAGCGGAGGUUUGCCCUUUGAGACAGACACAGUCAGUGCACAGAAACUGUUUUUUUAAGAUAUCAUCCAGGAGUCAUUCCUAGAAUAGGAAUGGAAUAGACAUGCCUCCCUGAGAAGAAAGGAAGACAGAUUCUAUACUGUUAGAAUUUGAAUCUGUGUUGCAGGGAGAUGAGGAAUUUGAAGCCAGACUCUUGGGCUGUUAAUGUAUGGCUAAGUGGUGAUGUGGUGACAACCUUGAAUGCUAGUCCUGGAGGUCAAAUCACCAGCAGCUGGUGCCAUGGGAGGCUUUGCUUAGGGGACACGGCUGGGUUCUGCCUGGAUGCUGCAUCCCAAGGGAGGCAUUGAGGUGCGGCUGUGAGGACUCCAAACCCCAUGUCCAGAAGGAUGAGUAACAGAGAUCCUGUGUCAUUCAUUGAUUUCAAUAAAAUAUUUAUUGGAUCCAUAGCAUGGGCCUGGCAUUGACCAGUCAUCAAAACACAAUUCCCUGCCCUCAUGGAGUUUCUAUUCUAGACCAUGCGGGAGGAUAGGAGCAUAUGGACAGUAAACAAGGUAAGUGAGAAAAAUAUGUCGUACGUCAGAUGACACCCUAUAUCAUAUGGUGACAAGUACCAGGGGGAAAAGGAAGCAGACAGAAGGAGUGCUGGGAUAGGAAGGGGUUGCAAUUUUUAAAGCGUUGUCAAAUGCUUCCCUGGGUGGGCUCAUUAAAGAGAUGAGGAAGGUGUGGGACGGAGCUGUCCAGAUAUCCUGGGGAAGAGCGUUCCUAAUGGAGGGAAAAGCCAGUACAAAGGCCCCGAGGUGGGACAAUGCCUGGCUUGAAACUGGAGCUGAGUGAACCAGAAGGCAAGGAGAAAGGCCCACACAGGCCAUUGUAGGGGCUCUGGCUUUUGCUUGGGGUAAAUGGAAGCCAUCACAAGGUUUGAGCCCAGGAAUGGCCUGGUUUGACUUGCAUUUUAACCAGGCCCCUCUGGCUGCUGGGUUGAGAAUAGGGGAAGAAGGAAAAGGGUGGGAGCAGAGAGAGCAAUCUGGAGGCUAAUGUGAUAAUCUGGGCAAGGGAGGGGGGCCUGGCUGUGAGCCAUGGAGGGGCAAAGCCGUCAGACUCUGGAUAAACAUAGGAGGUAGAGUCAGCCAGAUCUGCUGACGGGUCAAGGGUACCUCCAAGGUUUUUGGCAACUAAAAGGAUGAGGUCAGGAAAAUUACCCAAGAAAAAGGCCUGGAGAGCACUUGGGAGUUGAGUUCUGAAGGUGUAAAGUGUGAGAGGCUCCUAGACACCCAGGUUGAGAUGCUGAGAAAGCAGGCAGAUUACAUAAGUCUCAGGCUGAGGGGUGAGCUGGAGCCAUCAGUGUAUAGAGAAUGCAGGCUGGAGCCAUCAGUGUAUAGAAUAUAUGAACUAGAGCCAUCAAUGUAUAGAUAACAUAGCUGGAACCAUCAGUGUGUAGGGGACAUGACCUAGAGCCACCAGUGUCUAGAGGAUGUGGGCUGAAGCCAUCAGUGUAUAGAGAACAUGGGAUGGGGCCAUCAGUGUAUAGAUGACAUGGCUGGAGCCAUCAGUGUAUAGAGAACAUGAGCUAGAGCCACCAGUGUAUACAGGAUGUAGGCUGGAGUCAUCAGUGUAUAAAUGACCUAGUUAAAACCAUAAGACUAUCUGGGCUCACCAAGGAAGAGCAGAGAGAAGAGGCCUAGGGCUGAGUUCUGGGGCUGUCUACCAUUUAGAGAUCCCAAAGAAGCAGGAGCCUGAAAAGAGGCCAAAGAAGUAUAAGCAAGUGGUGUCCUGAGAACCAAGUGACUCUGGGGCUGAGUGGUGAUCACUGGAAUCAGCAAAGUGGAGGUCACCAGUGAUUGUGACAGAGGAGCUCCAGGGGAAAAGUGUGUGCAAAAGCCACAGAGGUUGGAGCAGGUUCAAGAGAGCCCCAAGUGGAGCAGAACUGGAGACAGGAGGACCAGAUGGCUCUUUUGAGGAAUUUUUGCUAGAAAGAUAGGAAGAGGAAUGGGGAGGCAGCUGGAAGAGGAAACUGAGAGCGGGUUUCUGAAAAUGAAAGAAAUAAUAGCAGGUAGGACCUACCAGGAGGGAACUGGGAUAGGAGAAAGAAGGGAGACUUGCAAGUGGAUGUUCUUUCAUGGAUGGGAUGGGAUGGGAUGUGGAUGGGAUGGGAUGGGAUGUGGAUAGGAUGGGAUGGGAUGGGAUGGGAUGGGAUGGGAUGGGAUGUGGAUGGGAUGGGAUGGGAUGUGGAUGGGAUGGGAUGGGAUGGGAUGGGAUGGGAUGUGGAUGGGAUGGGAUGGGAUGUGGAUGGGAUGGGAUGUGAAUGGGAUGGGAUGGGAUGGGAUGGGAUGUGGAUGGGAUGGGAUGGGAUGGGAUGGGAUGGGAUGGGAUGGGAUGUGGAUGGGAUGGAAUGGGAUGUCCUGCAGAACACAGGUGGGCUUGGCCAGGGCUAGGUGCAUGGAUAUGCAUCCACCAGUACAGGAGAGAAGACAGAGUGUCCACCCUGGAAGGUGACACCAAGUCAUAGUCCUUCUGGAGGGGGGUCCUGGUCCCCAGUCCCAUUCUUCAUCCAUGGAAUCCCUGUGUUUACUCCUCGCCAGCCUCAAUAGCUGGCUGCUGGGGGCCUCCACUCUCAGCAGGGUGGACGGGCUUGAAGCCACACGAUAGGGCCUGGGUAUAAAGUAUGAUGACCUAGGUCCACAGACCUCACAUCAGAGCCUCCAGCAGACCCUGGGUUCAUAGUCACAUAUGGGCUCCAUGUGACCAAUACUUGCCCCCACCCCAUGGUCCCACCUCAAUGCCUGACAGAAGCCCCACUCCUCAGGUUUAUGCACAUGAUUUGCCUUUUUCACUGCUUUCUUUUUCUUUUCUAGACACAGGGUCUUGCUCUGUCACCCAGGCUGGAGUACAGUGGUUGGAUCAUAGCUCACUGCAGCCUCAAACUCCUGGGCCCUCAGCCCAGUGAUUGUCCUGCCUUAGCCUCCCAUGUAGCUAGGACUACAGGUGCACACCACCACGCCUGGCUACUUAAAACAAACAAACAAACAAAUUGUAGUAGCAAGGUCCUACUAUGUUGUCCAGGCUGGUCCUGAACUCUUGGCCUCAAGCAGUCUUCCCACCUCAGCCUCCCAAAGUGUGGGACUGCAGGCGUGAGCCCCCGUGCCUGGCCCUCACUGCUUUCCUUAUGGUUACUCCAUACCUCUUUUCAAAUUUGCCAAAUGGCUAAUCUUUCCACACUCGAGUAUUAUUAGAAAUGAGUUUUAAUAUACCUAUUUUUCUUGCUAUGUCAACGUACAAACAUGCAUCCUUAAAUAAGAAAGUGUUAGAGUCACAUAUUAAAAAUGCAUUUCUUGCUAAGUCAUGCUCGAAUUAUGCAAGAUUGCAAGGAAAUUUAAUGCAAGACAAAUGAGUGAGGCCAGGAAUCUUGCUGUGAGAGUUUGGGAAGCAGAGCUCCCUGGCUCCAGACAAGGAAUGGACUCAGCCUGACGGGAGGAGGUCUCGCCUGUCUUUGGGAGGGAAAGAUCCUGUCGGUACUUUUAAGUGAUCGUCUAUCUUUGAGGCACAGACAUAUCUCAAUUGGCCCGGGACAGAAAAUCAAGCCAAGUCAGAGAUCCCCUCAGCAAGACCCAGGGAUCUCUGAAGAAAUGAAAAUGAAGCGAAGAAAGACAAAAUUAGAAAUAUUUAUUCCAUCCGUCAUCUCUUUGCUUGUCUCAAAUGCCACCAUCCAACCCAAUGAGAACGACAAAAGGACAUUCUAUUUCUGUCCCCAUGAAAGUUUCAACCCCAAAGCAAAACCUCAGUGUGCGCUGAGAAGAUGCAGCAAAAGGGUCUUUUUGUUAAACUCAUUAUUAGAAUUAAACCCAAAGAGGGAAAUGUUGGAGGUAUUUUAGGUUUUUAAACUAAAUUAGUCCCAAUUAAUUCUAAGAAGAUACACUAAAAUCAAUUCUGUUUUAGAAAGGCAAUUUAAUACAAAAGCUUGAGGGGAAAUGUUAUUUUUAAAAUGUAAAAAGGCACCUUAAAACCUGUAAAAUAUUUUAAAUGGCUUUCCUAUUCCAUCAAGUUUUGAGAGGGGUUUUCAUUUUUCUCAGGAAACAUUUUCUCCCGGUGUGGGGUUGGGGAUGACUUCAGACAGGGCCUGAAAGCAGCGAGCAACUCACGCUGUCCAGGAGGGGCGAGAACAAACCCUCAGCUUUGUCUGGUUCUGUUUUUGGUGUCUCCAUUCCCAGCUCCGUAUUAAGUCAGUUCCCAAAUCCGAGCAAAAGAUAAUUUUGGAUAAAAAAAUGGAAUGUUCUAACUCCGCCUGAGAGAUGGAAAGAGAAACAGAGAUGAGUCUGAUGAAACAGAACUCAAAUCACCCUCUUCCUGACCCACCGCUUCUCUUCUGAUUCAACUGUAGAUUUGGACAAAUUGCCACCUUUCAGACCUUUCCAUGUUCCAAUAUUCUUUCCAUUUGUCCUGGCUUCCAGAAGCCUUGGCGGCCCAAGUAUCCACCUGGGUGCUGGGUGACCCUGCCUGUUGCUGCUCUUGGAAAGCAUGUUUCACUUCUGCAUACAUUUUAAAAGAUAAAUAUUUGGGCCAGGAGCAGUGGCUCAUGUCUGUAAUCCCAGCGCUCUGAGAGGCUGAGGUGGGAGAAUUGCCUGAGGCCAGGAGUUUGAGAACAGCCUGGGUAACAAAGCGAGACCUCGUCUCUAGAGAAAAAAAAUUAAAAAUUAUUCGGGUAAGGUGGGUGUGCCUGCGGUCCCAGCUACUCAGGAGGCUGAGGCAGGAGGACUGCUUGAGGCCAGGAGGUGGAGGAUGCAGUGAGCAAUGAUUAUACCACUGCACUCCAGCCUGGGCGACAGAGAGAGAUCCUGUCUCUCAAAAAAGAAACAUGAAGUCUUCCUUCCAAGGACAUAACAAAGAAAAAAGAGAAAAAAAAGGCCCCUCUCUCUUCAGUGCUGCCUACGGAGGUGGCAGCUGUCUCCUCCUCAGCAUCAUGGCCGCCCUCAGACCCCUCGUGAAGCCCAAGAUCGUCAAAAAGAGAACCAAGGAGUUCAUCUGGCACCAGUCAGACCAACAUGUCAAAAUUAAGUGUAACUGGAGGAAACCCAGAGGUAUUGACAAUAGGGUUUGCAGAAGGUUCAAGGACCAGAUAUUUUUUUUUCUUUUUUGAGACAGAGUCUCACUCUGUUGUGCAGGCUGCAGUGCAGUGGUGCGAUCUCAGCUCACUGCAACCUCCGCCUUCCGGGUUGAAGCAAUUCUCAUGCCUCAGCCUCCAGAGUAGCUGGGAUUACAGGCUCCCACCACCAUGCCUGGCUAGUUUUUGUAUUUUUAUUAGAGACGGGGUUUCACCAUGUUGGCCAGGCUGGUCUCAAACUCCUGACCUCAGGUGAUCCACCCUCCUCAGCCUCCCAAAGUGCUGGGAUUACAGACAUGAGCCACCGCGCCUGCAAGGGCCAGAUCUUGAUGCCCAACACUGGUCAUGGGAGCAACAAAAAACAAAGCACAUGCUGCCCAGUGGCUUCCGGAAGUUCCUGGUCCCCAGCGUCAAGGAGCUGGAAGUGCUGAUGUGCAACAAAUCUCCCUGUGCUGAGAUCGCUCACAGUGUUUCCUCCAAGAAACAAAACCAUCGUGGAAAGGGCCGCCCAGCUGCCGUCAGAGUCACCAACCCCAAUGCCAGGCUGCGCAGUGAAGAAAAUGAGUAGACGGCUCAUGUGCAUGUUUUGUGUUUAAAUAAAACCAUAAAAACUGCAAAAAGAUAUAUAAAAACAAAAAAUAAAUAUUUGAAAUAUUUCCAUCCAAAUGGAAUUUCAAAACAAUUAAAGAUGGAAAGAAGGAAGGCUGAAUGGAUGAAAGCCCUCUGAAGCUUACUGUAGAGUGGAACGAUGAAGACACAGUUGCAUUUCUGUGUAAGUCAAAUUCUCUUUUUUACCGUGCAAAUUUCAUGGUUAAGAUGAGGUUGAAUGCGGACGGCUAAUACCAGUAAUUUGGGCUAAGCGCUCCUCUUCCGGGAGUCUGAGCCAUCUGAAUUGGCUGUUUACCCAGCUCAUACUGAUCAGGAAGUAUCUGAGAGGGUGAAUGCACCAAUAAAAAGCCACCCAGACCCUCCUCUCCAGCAAGUGGAAAGUGUGUGUCUCGUCCUCACACAGGAAUGACUGUAGAGGACCACAGGGCGACUUCUAGGCAGCCCCCAGACAGGCCGGCCCUGGGUAGCAGGAACUCGUUCUGCCCCAGCUGAGGUUCUGGGCCUCAUCACUAAUGACCCACAGCAGCCAAGGUCAGCCCUCGGGAAGAUGGAAAAUGAAUGAAGGGCAGCUCUGCCCAAAGCGGCGGACCAGAAAUCCAGUCCUUCCAUGAGACCUCGGUACACACAGAACUCCUCCUACCACGUGCAACCUUAUUCUCGGCUGAGCAACUCAUAAAUCGCAUAACAAAAACAGUGAUUGAUGCGGACUGUGUUUAGUGCCAUCCUUGCCGGUGAGAGGGAGUGAGCCAGCAAGCUUCCUUAAAUCUCUUUAGUUCUCCAAAAGGAGAGGCCAUUUGCCUUCUCAUCUAUGCCGCAAGUUUCUGGGGCUUGCAUCAUUAACCUGGUGGCUUUGCCAAUUCCUUCGCCAGUGCUGGGUCAAAGACAGGCAAGGGCACCAGGGUUAGCCAUGAGUGUGUGCCAGGGGCUGAAUGCAAAACCCGGGAGCACUGGUGGCUGGGGCAGGUGGGCUGGGCUCUGCCACUGCCUCCCCCAGCCCACCCAAGAGGGGCGUGUGCCUCUGCAGGAAAUGGCCUCCAAGCAUUUCUCAAGACUUACGAGAUGUUCAAACCUACACAGUCAGAGACAAAGAGCUAGCUAUAAGUGGGGUCUUUUUCCCCUCCUCAAAAUUCAUCCUGCAGAAGUAGACAUGUGCUAAACAGUGCAUGGCCACACAAAUGCUUGGAUACCAAUGUUCACAGCAGCGUUGUCCUAAUGGCCCCAAAGUAGCAACAGCCCAAAUGUUUGUCAACUGAUGGAUGGAUAAACGAAGGCGGCCGGGCGCGGUGGCUCACACCUGUAAUCCCAGCACUUUGGGAGGCUGAGGCGGGUGGAUCACCUGAGGUCAGGAGUUUGAGACCAGCCUGACCAACAUGGAGAAACCCUGUCUCUAUUAAAAUACAAAAUUAGCCGGGCGUGGUGGCACAUGCCUGUAAU